rnacentral:rRNA from 1 species
CAAUAGCGUAUAUUAAAGUUGUUGCAGUUAAAAAGCUCGUAGUUGGAUUUCUGUCGAAAGCAAGUAGCCCGCUCUUUUGAGUGUUGUGCUUACGUCGUUUUUGACAUUUUUCUGUUUUCCCGGUUUAUGUUCUUAAUUGAGCAUAAAAUUCGUGAACAGAACUUUUACUUUGAGAAAAUUAGAGUGUUCUAAGCAGGCUAUUGCCUUGAAUACUGCAGCAUGGAAUAAUAAUAUAGGAUUUCAAUUCUAUUUUAUUGGUUCUAAGGAUUGAAAUAAUGAUUAAUAGGGACAGUUGGGGGCAUUCGUAUUUAACUGUCAGAGGUGAAAUUCUUAGAUUUGUUAAAGACGAACUACUGCGAAAGCAUUUGCCAAGGAUGUUUUCAUUAA